rnacentral:rRNA from 1 species
AGAGUUUGAUCAUGGCUCAGGAUGAACGCUGGCGGCGUGCCUAACACAUGCAAGUCGAGCGGGAAUCUCCUGAUUGAAACUUCGGUAGAUUGACGGGGAGGAUAGCGGCGGACGGGUGAGUAACGCGUAGGUAAGCUGCCCUAUGCACAGGGAUAGCCUAGGGAAACCUGGAUUAAUACCUGAUGACGCUGCGAGGUCACAUGGCCAUGCAGCCAAAGUUUUUUCGGCAUAGGAUGCACCUGCGUCUGAUUAGCUGGUUGGUGAGGUAACGGCCCACCAAGGCGACGAUCAGUAGCCGACCUGAGAGGGUGAUCGGCCACAUUGGAACUGAGACACGGUCCAAACUCCUACGGGAGGCAGCAGUGAGGAAUAUUGCACAAUGGGGGGAACCCUGAUGCAGCAACGCCGCGUGAGCGAAGAAGGUCUUCGGAUCGUAAAGCUCUGUCCUAAGGGACGAUAAUGACGGUACCUUAGGAGGAAGCCCCGGCUAACUACGUGCCAGCAGCCGCGGUAAUACGUAGGGGGCGAGCGUUAUCCGGAAUUAUUGGGCGUAAAGAGUACGUAGGUGGUCCGUUAAGCGAGUGGUGAAAGCCCGGGGCUCAACUCCGGCGAGCCAUUCGAACUGGCGGACUUGAGUGCAGGAGGGGAAAGUGGAAUUCCUGGUGUAGCGGUGAAAUGCGUAGAUAUCAGGAGGAACACCGGUGGCGAAGGCGACUUUCUGGACUGUAACUGACACUGAGGUACGAAAGCGUGGGGAGCAAACAGGAUUAGAUACCCUGGUAGUCCACGCUGUAAACGAUGAGCACUAGGUGUUGGGGCAGCAAUGUCUCGGUGCCGCAGUUAACGCAAUAAGUGCUCCGCCUGGGGAGUACGCACGCAAGUGUGAAACUCAAAGGAAUUGACGGGGACCCGCACAAGCAGCGGAGCAUGUGGUUUAAUUCGAAGCAACGCGAAGAACCUUACCAGGGCUUGACAUCCUCUUGAAAGGUCUUUUAACCGAGACCCCUCUUCGGACAAGAGAGACAGGUGGUGCAUGGUUGUCGUCAGCUCGUGUCGUGAGAUGUUGGGUUAAGUCCCGCAACGAGCGCAACCCUUGUCAUUAGUUGCCAUCAGGUGAUGCUGGGCACUCUAGUGAGACUGCCGGGGACAACUCGGAGGAAGGUGGGGAUGACGUCAAAUCAUCAUGCCCCUUAUGUUCUGGGCUACACACGUGCUACAAUGGUCGGUACAGAGAGAAGCAAAACUGUGAGGUGGAGCAAAACUCUAAAACCGAUCCCAGUUCGGAUUGCAGGCUGCAACUCGCCUGCAUGAAGUCGGAGUUGCUAGUAAUCGCGGAUCAGAACGCCGCGGUGAAUGCGUUCCCGGGUCUUGUACACACCGCCCGUCACACCAUGGAAGUUGGGGGUGCCCGAAGUUGGCAAACAUGUUACCUAAGGCAAAACCAAUGACUGGGGUGAAGUCGUAACAAGGUAGCCGUUCGAGAACGAGCGGCUGGAUCACCUCCUU